rnacentral:rRNA from 1 species
GAAUUUUGCGCAAUGGGGGAAACCCUGACGCAGCAACGCCGCGUGGAGGAUGAAGGUCUUCGGAUUGUAAACUCCUGUUGCCCGGGACGAAAAGCUCCAACCUAACACGUUGGAGUCUGACGGUACCGGGUGAGGAAGCCCCGGCUAACUCUGUGCCAGCAGCCGCGGUAAUACAGAGGGGGCAAGCGUUGUUCGGAAUUACUGGGCGUAAAGGGCGCGUAGGCGGCCUUCUAAGUCGAACGUGAAAUCCCCGGGCUCAACCCGGGAACUGCGUCCGAGACUGGAAGGCUCGAAUCCGGGAGAGGGAUGUGGAAUUCCAGGUGUAGCGGUGAAAUGCGUAGAUAUCUGGAGGAACAUCGGUGGCGAAGGCGGCAUCCUGGACCGGUAUUGACGCUGAGGCGCGAAAGCCAGGGGAGCAAACGGG